rnacentral:lncRNA from 1 species
AUAUAUAUAUAACAACAUGAUAUUACAAUAUCAUUGAUAAUACAUAUGUAGGUUGGUCAAAUGUCAUGGUCUAGAGAGUGGAGUCCCAUCGAGUUGCUUUAGUCAGUAGGUCCAAGGACGUACCACCUCAUCCACUUGAUAAGGGUCUUCCCAAUUAGAUGAUGAUUUUUCCUACUCAGUGGACUGUGAAACUUCAGCUCAUCGCAGUACC